GAUGAACGCUGGCGGCGUGCCUAAUACAUGCAAGUCGAGCGAACAGACGAGGAGCUUGCUCCUCUGACGUUAGCGGCGGACGGGUGAGUAACACGUGGAUAACCUACCUAUAAGACUGGGAUAACUUCGGGAAACCGGAGCUAAUACCGUAUAAUAUAUUGAACCGCAUUGUUCAAUAGUGAAAGACGGUUUUGCUGUCACUUAUAGAUGGAUCCAGGCCGCAUUAGCUAGUUGGUAAGGUAACGGCUUACCAAGGCAACGAGGCGUAGCCGAACUGAGAGGGUGAUCGGCCACACUGGAACUGAGACACGGUCCAGACUCCUACGGGAGGCAGCAGUAGGGAAUCUUACGCAAUGGGCGAAAGCCUGACGGAGCAACGCCGAGUGAGUGAUGAAGGCCUUCGGAUCGUAAAACUCUGUUAUUAGGGAAGAACAAAUGUGUAAGUAACUAUGCACGUAUUGACGGUACCUAAUCAGAAAGCCACGGCUAACUACGUG
rnacentral:rRNA from 1 species